rnacentral:rRNA from 1 species
GCCUAACACAUGCAAGUCGAACGGACUGAUUCGCUUCGGUGAUGAAAGUCAGUGGCGGACGGGUGAGUAACGCGUGAGUAACCUGCCUUUCAGAGGGGGGAUAACGUUUGGAAACGAACGCUAAUACCGCAUAACGUACAGUUGUCGCAUGGCAGCAGUACCAAAGGAGCAAUCCGCUGGAAGAUGGACUCGCGUCUGAUUAGAUAGUUGGCGGGGUAACGGCCCACCAAGUCGACGAUCAGUAGCCGGACUGAGAGGUUGAACGGCCACAUUGGGACUGAGACACGGCCCAGACUCCUACGGGAGGCAGCAGUGAGGGAUAUUGCACAAUGGGCGCAAGCCUGAUGCAGCAACGCCGCGUGAGGGAUGACGGUUUUCGGAUUGUAAACCUCUGUUCUUAGUGAUGAUAAUGACAUUAGCUGAGGAGAAAGCCACGGCUAACUACGUGCC